GUCUGCAACCAUAAUACGUCGGAAACACCGGUUCACGUCCGAUAACCAAAACUAUGCAACGUUAGGCCCGAUCAGCAUUCACAUGGGUGGCCGGAUGUUAAAACAGGAUGUCGCAGGCU
rnacentral:rRNA from 1 species